UACGAAGGGGGCUAGCGUUGCUCGGAAUCACUGGGCGUAAAGCGCACGUAGGCGGAUUGUUAAGUCAGGGGUGAAAUCCUGGAGCUCAACUCCAGAACUGCCUUUGAUACUGGCGAUCUCGAGUCCGGGAGAGGUGAGUGGAACUGCGAGUGUAGAGGUAAAAUUCGUAGAUAUUCGCAAGAACACCAGUGGCGAAGGCGGCUCACUGGCCCGGUACUGACGCUGAGGUGCGAAAGCGUGGGAGCAAACAGGG
rnacentral:rRNA from 1 species